GACGAAUGGAACUAUGGCGAAUUGAAACCAAAGAAGUGAUUAUGACAGCAGGAGAAGUGGCAGCAGCACGUGUUGGUUACUGCACAGCCACAAGACCUUUCUUGCAGCCAAGAUCUUUUUUAAAAUGUGAGGCAGGAGAGGAAUGGGCAGAAAUGUACACCUCAGCUGUCCCAACCACUGAAUUAGAAAUACGUUCCUCUCUGGAAUCGUGGCCUUAGCAUGCUCUGGAGCAGCAGGUUGGGGAUUUCUUGUUCUCUUGAGAUGCAAAGAGAUCUCAAGAUUGGAAUCCCCACUGCUGAAAGAUGGCAAUGUA